rnacentral:rRNA from 1 species
CAAGGACACUCGUAGAGGUGCUGCAUGGCUGUCGUCAGCUCGUGUCGUGAGAUGUUGGGUUAAGUCCCGCAACGAGCGCAACCCUUGUCUGCUGUUGCCAUCAGGUAGUGCUGGGCACUCUGCAGAGACUGCCGGUGAUAAACCGGAGGAAGGUGGGGAUGACGUCAAGUCAGCAUGGCCUUUAUGUCUGGGGCUACACACGUGCUACAAUGGCCGAUACAAACCGUCGCAAAACCGCAAGGUGGAGCUAAUCGGAGAAAAUCGGUCUCAGUUCGGAUUGUAGGCUGCAACUCGCCUGCAUGAAGUUGGAAUCGCUAGUAAUCGCGGAUCAGCACACCGCGGUGAAUACGUUCCCGGGCCUUGUACACACCGCCCGUCACAUCACGAAAGCCGGUUGUACUAGAAGUCGCCACAUCAACCCGCAAGGGAGAGAGGCGCCUAAGGUAUGGUCGGUGAUUGGGGUGAAGUCGUAACAAGGUAAGCGUAGAUGA